AUACCACUCAGUGAAUGGCUCGGCUCAAGAGCUGAUGAAGGACGUGCCAAGCUGCGAUAUGCCCCGGGUAGGCGCAAGGAGCCUUUGAACCGGGGAUCUCCGAAUGGGAACUCCUAACCGAUUGGUUGAUCCCGUCAGGGAUCGGGAACGCCCCGGAUUGAAACAUCUUAGUAGGGGCAGGAAGAGAAAUCGUAAGAGAUACCGUGAGUAAAGGCGAUUGAAAGCGGCACAGUUCAAACCGAAUCCCCGCAAGGGGAGAUGUAGUGUUAUAAGCCGAAUCCGUAACGCAGAGCCUGAGAAGCUGAAGUUGUCUGGAAAGACACGCCAUAGAGGGUGAUAGCCCCGUGAGCGUAAUCAGUCUGCCGGGAUUCGUGUCUUGAGUACCGUGGGUUGGAAUUCUCGCGGGAAUUUGGGAGUCACCAACUUCCAAGACUAAAUACAACUUGAGACCGAUAGUGUACUAGUAGGGUGACCGAAAGCUGAAAAGCACCCCAUAUAGGGAGGUGCAAAGAGCCUGAAAUUGAGUGGUGACGGUGCGGCAGGGCAUGAAAGGAUCCUCGAUGCGAAGGAAGACGUCGCGAGGCGUUUGUACGAGCAUCGUCGCCAGUGUUCUGUCUUACGUUUUGAAGAACGGGCCAGGGAGUGUAUUCAGAUGGCAAGGUUAAGGUCUACACGGCCGGAGCCGAAGGGAAACCGACAGGUCCGUAGCUCGCAAGAGUGUGGGACGGCGUACAAAAAGUGCGCGGAGUCAUCAGGAUACGACCCGAAACCGAGUGAUCUAGGCGUGGGCAGGUUGAAGCGUGACGAAAGUUGCGUGGAGGACCGUUAGCGGUGCUGAUUUGCAAAUCGCUCGCGUGACCUGUGUCUAGGGGUGAAAGUCCAAUCGAACUCGGAAACAGCUGGUUCCUUCCGAGACAUGUCGUAGCAUGACCUCGACGGAGACUGUCGGCGGAGUAGAGCACUGAUUGAGGGAGCUGUGGGAGAAAUCCCUCACCCCUCUGUCAAACUCCAAAACCGCCGUCGUCGUAGAUGUCGGGAGUCCGGGCUGGGGGGUAAGCUUCUAGUCCGAGAGGGAAACAACCCAGACCGUGGUUAAGGCCCUAAAAUGUCGGCUAAGUGUAAUUAAAAGGGUGUCCCAGGCCCUAGACAGCUGGGAGGUGAGCUCAGAAGCAGCUAACCUUUAAAAAGUGCGUAACAGCUUACCAGUCGAGGUUUGGGGCCCCGAAAAUGGACGGGGCUCAAGCCGACUGCCGAUACCACGGAGCACGGAGACGUGAUCUGGUAGGAAGGCGUCCUGCGUGGGCCGAAGCAGGGCUGUAAAGUCCUGUGGACCGCGCAGGAACGAAGAUCCUGGCAAUAGUAGCAGCAUAGUCGGGUGAGAAUCCCGACCGCCGAAAGGGCUAGGUUUCCUCGACAAUGUUCGUCAGUCGAGGGUUAGUCGGUCCUAAGAUGCACCGUAAUUCGAGUGCGUCAAAAGGGAAACAGGUUAAUAUUCCUGUACCACGCGACAUUAAAACCUGACGCCUCCGGGUAGUUCGAACAGUGAUGCCAAACUGUCCAAGCGUAUUAAGUUCGCGGAGAACCGUAAUGGUGAGAAACGGACCAAAGCGUGAUGGGGAAACUCGGAUAAUCCCAGGGGCCCGUGAAAAAGGGAGUCGAUGGCCGUACCAAGAUCUGACACAGGUGCCCCUAGUUGAAAAGACUAAGGCGUGUCGGCAUAACCCACCCAAGGGAAAUCGGCAAAUUAGCCCCGUAACUUCGGGAGAAGGGGUGCCUGCUCUGAGAAGAGCAGGUCGCAGUGACUAGGGGGCUCUAACUGUCUAAUAACAACACAGGUGAUUGCUAACCCGAAAGGGCAAGUACAAUCACUGAAUCCUGCCCAGUGCAGGUACCUGAACAUCCGGUUCAACGGGAAGAAGGGCCUGUCAACGGCGGGGGUAACUAUGACCCUCUUAAGGUAGCGUAGUACCUUGCCGCUUAAUUGGCGGCUUGCAUGAAUGGACCAAUGAGAGCCCUACUGUCCCUGGGUGGAACCCGGUGAACUUUACAUUCCAGUGCAGAGUCUGGAGACCCCUGAUGGGAAGUGAAGACCCCGUGGAGCUUU
rnacentral:rRNA from 1 species